UCAUCCUUUAUUCAUGACUAUACAAAACACUUCGAGAUUAGCUUUUUUUCGGGAAAAAGUUGCAUCUAGUGUCAUUAAAACUACAGAAGUUGUUCACUAAAGGAUUGUUUCCUCAACAGCAUGAUGAUAUGUGGUUGCCUUGAAAAUGGGCUAGACAAGUUGUGAUGGGCAUAUGAGAGGGUUUAUUAAACAAAGAGUCAAGUUGUUGGAGUUUUUCAACAACUCAUAAGAUAUUUUCUAGAUCUCUUUUUAUGGUCA